rnacentral:rRNA from 1 species
GACGAACGCUGGCGGCGUGCCUAAUACAUGCAAGUAGAACGCUGAAGGAGGAGCUUGCUUCUCUGGAUGAGUUGCGAACGGGUGAGUAACGCGUAGGUAACCUGCCUGGUAGCGGGGGAUAACUAUUGGAAACGAUAGCUAAUACCGCAUAAUAGCAGUUGUUGCAUGAUAACUGUUUGAAAGGUGCAAUUGCACCACUACCAGAUGGACCUGCGUUGUAUUAGUUAGUUGGUGGGGUAACGGCUCACCAAGGCGACGAUACAUAGCCGGCCUGGGAGGGGGAACGGCCAAACUGGGAAUGAGACACGGCCCAGACUCCUUCGGGAGGCAGCAGUAGGGAAUCUUCGGCAAUAGACGGAAGUCUGACCGAGCAACGCCGCGUGAGUGAAGAAGGGUGUCGGAUCGUAAAGCUCGGUUGUAAGGGAAGAACGAGUGUGAGAGUGGAAAGUUCACACUGUGACGGUAGCUUACCAGAAAGGGACGGCUAACUACGUG